rnacentral:rRNA from 1 species
AAAGCCUGAUCCAGCCAUGCCGCGUGAGUGAUGAAGGCCCUAGGGUUGUAAAGCUCUUUCAACGGUGAAGAUAAUGACGGUAACCGUAGAAGAAGCCCCGGCUAACUUCGUGCCAGCAGCCGCGGUAAUACGAAGGGGGCUAGCGUUGUUCGGAAUUACUGGGCGUAAAGCGCACGUAGGCGGAUAUUUAAGUCAGGGGUGAAAUCCCGGGGCUCAACCCCGGAACUGCCUUUGAUACUGGGUAUCUCGAGUCCGAGAGAGGUGAGUGGAAUUCCGAGUGUAGAGGUGAAAUUCGUAGAUAUUCGGAGGAACACCAGUGGCGAAGGCGGCUCACUGGCUCGGUACUGACGCUGAGGUGCGAAAGCGUGGGGAGCAAACAGGAUUAGAUACCUGGUAG